rnacentral:lncRNA from 1 species
GGAGUAAACCAUGAAAUUUUUUUUGUCUAUGUGAUGAUAAACAAAACGAUGUCAGCCAAUCAGAAGACGCGUUGCAUCGAGCCAAUAUUAAAUUAAUAUCUUGAAAUAAAUAUAAAACAAAUGAACCAAUUUUAAUUGGGUCAGUCUAGUAUUACUGAUUUCUCAGUCACCUCUAGGAAAUUGGAAAAAAUUAACUCAAACAGAAUAUACAAUAUUGUGCAUCUUUUUCAGUGAUUCUGGUACCCACUUUAAAAUAUGACUGAUGGUACCAGUCUUCAAGGGAAGAGUUCUGGGAAGGAUAAACUUGGUGAAAAAGGAGUAGACAUAUUGGACAUAUUGGAAAAGGGACCAAGUUUUGAACUAAGUUCAGAAAUGGAAAGUUUAGAAUUGGGGUCAAGUGACCAAAGUCUGGAAGUCCAACCCCCUGUUAAGGAUAGCAUAGGUGAAAUAAAAGUGACAUAUUUUUUGAGAGAUAUCAAACCUAAGAUGGUGAAUGCUUGGUCAACUUUGUUUAAAAAUCAUGAAAACAGGGUCAAGGUAAGUUCAUAAGGUCACAUAAAGGUCAACAUUAAAUAAACAUGAUAAGAAGAAGGCUGCAGUAGUGAAAGGCAAUAUGUUUAUAACACAAAUUAUACCCUACACACAUAUUAUUACAAUUUUGGGAUUUUGAGUACAGUUGUGCAGCUGGGAUUUAAAAAACACUUUUCAAUUACUUAAUUUACUUUAAUUUAUAUGAAAUAGUUUUAUAUACCCAUUUAUAUAUCACAAUUGGUCAAUUACUACCUAUUGAUAUAUUUUCUCGGUAAAAUUGCACCCCAUUGAUAUAUUUGACAUAUAUAUAUAUAUAAAAAAAAGAUUCAUUCCAGUCAUGCCAGUGGCACAUAUGAAUAUACCUUCAUAUAGGAAGAGUUCAAGAGACCCACCCACCCUGUGGUCAGAAAUGUUGUAACACUUGUUGCAGUGAUGGAUUCUAUAUUUCUUAAAUGUCUGUCUAAGCAGAGGGGUGUGCUAUUUGGAUUUCCUCAUGCUGUUUCUACAUUAUACUAAACAUGCUAAAGUUGUAAAGAAUUCUAAAAUUUGAUUGAUUUUAUUGAUUUAAUCGUGCCACAGAAAAAAAUAUAAUUAAAUUUCAGAUUUCAUCAGGAGAUAUUUUCCGAGGGGCACCUGAAGCAGAUGCUUUGGUAAGUUAUUUUUAACUUAUUUAAUACUUUGUAAUGACAGUUGAGAAUAUUAAGUUGUAUGAUCACUGGUUAGAUUCAAAAUAGGUGUUACUAUGGUUACAAUAUCAAAAGAUUUGUUAAAUAUCCUAAUGGCCUAGAAUAUUUGAUAAUAAUGGUAAUAAUGAUAUCCUCUAUUUAAAGAGCAUAACCCAAUUAGAAUUUCCUUACAUUUCCCUAUAGGCCCUCAUAAAAUAUUUAACAUGGUCAGAUGGUAUAAACAUGUACAACAAGUAAUAUAUAUACAAACAAGCAGUAUAUAAUAUAUUUAUGCAUAAUCUGUUGUUCAGGGUUUUUUAUGCCUGCCCAAUAGUGCAGAAGGCAUUAAGUUUUGCCCUCGUCUGUACGCACAUCUGUUCAUCUCAAAAUUGGAUUUCCAUUCUCCAACUUUAGUUUGUCACAACAAAAGUUUUGAAUUUUGGUAGUGUCACUUUUUACCAUUUUAGAGUAUUGUCUUUUUAUACACCCAUCUUCUUUUAGACGGGAGGUAUUAUGGUAUACCGUUGUCUGUCUGUCUGUCUGUCCGUCCGUCGUCCACACUUCGGACAAGAACUCAAAAACACUUUCACCACUUUCCAUGAAACUUAAGUGAAUUAUUUAGAUCUAUUGAUGUAAGCUCCCUUUCUUUUUUUUUUAAUUUCAGAUUUUAAGUUUUGGAUUUAUGGGGCUUUAUUCAUAAAAAAGGGGGUCUGUCAUCCACACCUUCGGACAAUAACUCAAAAACACUUUCACCAAUUUCCAUGAACUUAAAUGAAUUGUUUAUAUCUAUUGACGUAAGCUCCCCUUUCGUUGUUUUUUUUUAAUUUCAGAUUUUAAGUUUUGGAUUUAUGGGCGGCUUAUUUCAUAAAAAAGUGCCGUCCGUCGGCCCCACACUUCGACAAACUCAAAAACCACUUUUCACCAAGUUUCCAAUGAACUUAAGUGAAUUGUUUAUAUCAGUGACAUAAGCUCCUUUUGGUUUUUUAAUUUCAGAUUUAAGUUUUGAUUUAUGGGGCUGUUAUUCAUAAAAAAAAAGGGUCGUCGUCCACACUUUCGGACAAUAACUGAAAAACACUUUCACCAAUUUCCAUGCAAACUUAACGUGAAUUGUUUAAUAUUCUAUUGACGUAAGCUCUUCUUUUGCUUUUUUUUUUAAUUUCAGCAUUUAUGUUUUGGAUUUAUGCGGCUUUAUUCAAAAAAAGGGGGGUCCGGUUGUCCACACUCGGUCAAUAACUCAAAAACACUUCACCAAUUUCCAUGAAAACUUAAGUGAUUGUUUAUAUCUAUUGACGUAAGCUCCUUUAAGCUUUUUUUAGCUCACCUGGCCCCAAAGGGCCAAGUGAGCUGUUUCUCAUCAUUGGCGGUCCGGCGUCCGGCGUCCGUUCGUCCGUCGUCGUCCCUUUCGUUUUUUUAAUUUUCAGAAUUUAAGUUGUUGGAUUUAUGGGGCUUUAUUCAUAAAAGUUGGGUCCGUCGCCACACUUCGACAAUUAACUCAAAAAACGCUUUCACCAAUUUCCAUGAAACUUAAGUGAAUUGUUUAUAUCAAUUGACGUAAGCUCCCUUUCGUUUUUUUUUAAAUUUCAGAUUUUAAGUUUUGGAUUUAUGGGGCUUUAUUCAUAAAAAAGGGGGUCCGUCGUCCACACUUCGGACAAUAACUCAAAAACACUUUCACCAAUUUCCAUGAAACUUAAGUGAAUUGUGUUAUAUCAUUGACGUAAGCUCUCUUUUGUUUUUUUUUAAUUUCAGAUUUUUAUGUUUUGGGAUUUUAUUGGACUUUAUUCAUAAAAGGGGUCCGUCGGUCCACACUCUCGGUCAAAUAAACUCAAAAACACUUUCACCAAUUCCAUGAAACUUGAAGUGAAUUGUUAAUUAUCUUUACGUAAGCUCCUUUUAGGUUUUUAGCUCACUGGCCCAAAGGGCCAAGUGAGCUUCUUUCUCAUCCACUUUGCGUUCCGCGACCGUCUCCGUCGUCGCCGGCGUUAGCUUUUACAAAAAUCUUCUCCGCUAAAACUACUGCGGCCCAAAUCAACCAAACUUGGCCACAAUCAUCAUUUGUCAGGGUAUCUAGUUUAAAAAAUUGUGUGGCGUGACCGGUCACCAACCAAGAUGGCCGCCACCGGCUAAAAAUAUAAGGUGUACACACCCUAAUUCAGGCCCGGCAGGAAAGCACAUACCAGAAGUUAGUACAUAUUUAACACAAAAAUAUUCCUACGCAUGCAGGUGAUGACUUUCAAAAAUAUGUAGAAAUUUAGGUUAUUUUUGGUAUCAAAUGAAAGCUGAAGGACUGGUGAUCAUUGUAGAACACUUUUAGACUUUUAAUUUUGAAUAGUAAAAAAAACUGCACCAAAUUUUAAAAAAGAGGUACAUUUUGGUCUGUUUGUCAAUCUGAAGUACCUGUUGGUACAUCUGAAGUUCCGGGAACCAGUUCUUUCUUAUAGCAAGUAUAAGGUAUGUUGAUUUUCCAGUACAAGACACCGAUAAAGUGUUGCUUUGAAAUGCAAUGAUUGCCACUUUAUUUUGAACUUUAAAAUAAAAAGAGGCAUGUGCCUGCUUGAAACGGAGGAAUUUAACAUAGAAAGCAAUGGGACAUGAAUUAGUGGUUACUUCCUAUUACAGAAGAAUCACCAGAAAAUCCAAUUUGUAGAAGUUGUACCUAUUCCAAUGAAAAUGCAUGUCAAAUAUAGGAUGUUAGUAAAUCAUGUCUAAUCAUCUUUUUGGGUCAACCGGCCUGCUUAUGGAAAUAUUAAGCUCUUAAAUUGGGCAUACUCAAAUAUGUAGCUUUUAUGGUCAUAAACAUGGACAUGCAUUAAGACUUGACUCCAAGUUCUCAUUUUUGCAUUUUUUCUGAUUUCAAAUCAAUAAAACAUGUAUUUUAUGGACUUGUUUAUGAAAAAAUAGCUCUUCGGUCAAAAUAAUCUCAUGAUUUUUCAAGUUUUUUUGUUUUUCUUAUGGUAGCCUUUUACAAUCUAGGCAAAUUGGGUAUAUACUCAUAUAAAAUUCUUAAAUCUCACUUACAGUGGGCAAUUUUGGACCAGUGUAGCAGGUUAUCUAGCUGAGGGAUAUUAUUAAAUUGCUCUUAUUUAAUCUAUUGUUUAACCACAGAAUUAUAAUUUCAUGCAAAAAAAAAAGCCUUUUUUCAAUUUCAAAAAAAAAAGGGCGGGAUAAUUUCUCAUUGAUGUCUAAGUUUGGACUUAAUGUAUUUGUUUAUGGGAAUGAAGAACCUCUGAUAAAAAAAUAUGACUAUUAGGUUAAGCACAUAGCUUUCCCUAAUAGAAUUAAUAAAUAAAACAAUGAUAUGAGAAUAAAAAAAAUAUAUUGUGCCAAUGGUAAUAUACAUAUGCAGUUUUUUACUUUGAAUAACCCAUAUGUUUACUACCAGUCCAAUUUGAGCUUUAAAUAAAAAAGUAUUUGGACUAAGGCUUUAUAUGUUUUUUAUUGCUUGAAAAUAGAUCAUAUAAUGAAAUUAAAGUAAUGCUCAAGAUCAAUAUAGCAAGUUUGGUUCUGCUUAUAGUGUAACACACUAAUUUCAGGCCCGGCCAGAAAGCACAUACCAGAAAGUAGUACAUAUUUAACACAAAAUAGUUCCUAACGCAUGAGUUUAUUGUAACUUUCAAACAUAUGUAGAUAUUUAGUAUUUUUGGUAUCAAAUGAAAGCUGAAGGACUGUGAUCAGUGUAGAACACUUUUUGGACUUUUAAAUUUGAAUAGUAAAGAAAACUGCACAAAUUUUUAAAAGAGGUACAUUUUGUUCUGUUUGUCAUAUCUGAAGUACCUGUUUUUGCGUACAUCUGAAGUUCCGUGGGAACAGUUCUUUCUUAUAUGCAAUAUAAAGGUAUGUUGAUUUUUCCAUACAAGACACCAUAAAGUGCUUGCUUUGAAAUGCAAUGAUUGCCAUUUAUUUGAAACUUAAAAUAAAAGAGUUGCGUGUGCCUGCUUGAAACGGAGGAAUUUAACAUAGAAAGCAAUGGGACAUGAAUAGUGGUUGUACUUUCCAUAAACAUUAGGGUAAAAUGCAGGUUUUUGGCUUAUAACUCAAAAACCAAAGCAUCUUAGAGCAAAUCAGACAUGGUGUAAAAUGUUUUAUCAGGUCAAGAUCUAUCUGCCCUGAAAUUUGCAGAUGAAUCGCGUCAGAUCGGUUGUUGGGUUGCUGCCCCGGAAUUUGGGCUUAAUUUUUGAGAAAUUUUGCUUUUUGGUUAUUUAUCUUGAAUAUUAUUAUAGAUAUAGAUAAAAACUGUAAACUAGCAAUAAUGUCAGCAAGGAAGAUCACAAAUAAAGUCAACAUGUACCAAAAUGGUCAGUUGACCCGUUUAGGAGUUAUUGCCCUUUAUAGUCCAUUUUAACAAUUUUUCUAUACUUAGUAAUCUUUUACAAAAAUCUUCUUCUCUGAACCCACAGGGCCAAAUUAAAUCCAAACUUGGCCACAAUCAUCUUUGGUAUCAGUUUUAAAAAGGGUGACGUGAACCGCCAAACAACCAAGAUGGCCGCUAUGGCUAAAAAAUAGAACAUAGGGCAUAAAACGCAGUUUUUGGCCUUAUACUCAAAAAACCAAACCAUUUAGAGCAAAUCUGGACCGGUUGUAAAAUUGUUUAUCGGGUCAAGCAUCUAUCUGCCCGGAAAUUUUCAGAUGAAAUCAGAGAACCCGUUGUGGGUUGCUGUCCCUGAAUUUGGUAAUUUUAAAGGAAAUUUGCUUGUUUUUGCGUUAUUAUCUUGAAAUAUUAUUAUGGAUAAGAGAUAAACUGUAAACAGCAAUAAAGGUUUAGCAAAGUAAGAUUGACAAAUGAAGUCAACAUGACCAAAAAUUGGUCAGUUGACCCCUUUAGGAGUUAUUGCCCUUUAAAGUCAAUUUUUUAACCAUUUUCAUAAAUUUUAUAUAUCUUACACAAAUCAUCUUCUCUAAAGUGGCUAGCCAAAUUAAUCCAAACUUUGGCCACAAUCAUCUCUGCGGGUAUCUAGUUCAAAAAUGUGUGGCGUGGACUGCCCAAACCAACCAAAGAUGGGCCGCUAUGGCCUAAAAAUAGAAACAUAGGGCGUUGAAAUGCAGCUUUGCCGCUUAUAAUCAAAAACCAAAGCAUUUGAGCAAAAUCUACACGUGGUAAAAUUGUAUAUCAGGUUAAGAUCUUAUCUGCCAGAAAUUUCAGAUGAAUCAGAGAACCCAUUGUUGGGUUGCUGUCCCUGAAUUUGUUAUUUUAAGGAAAUGUUUGCUGUUUUUGGUAUUAUUAUCUUGAAAUAUUAUUAUUAGAUAGAGAUAACAAUAAACAGCAAUAGGUCCACAAAGUAAGAUUUACAAAUAAGUCAACAUGACCAAAAUGGUCAAUUGACCCCCAAGGAUGUUAUUUCCUUUAUAGCAAUUUUAAACAAUUUUCAUAAAAUUUGUAAAUUUUUUACUACCCAGGUAACCAUUUUCCACAGAAACUACUGGGCCCAGUUCAUUAUAGAUAGUGAUAAUUGUAAGCAGCAAGGAAUGUUCAGUUAAAGUAAGAUAGUACAAAACACAUCACCAUCACCCAAACAUAAUUUUGUCAUGAUUCCAUCUGCUUCCUUUGUUUGAUAUUCACAUAGACCAAGGUGGCGACACAGGCCUCUUAUAGAGCCUCUAGUUCAUAAAUCUAAGUAAUCUUUUACAAAAUCUUCCACUGAAAACUACUAGUCCACAAUCAUCUUUGGGGUAUCUAGUUUGAAAAAUGUGUCCGAUGACCUGGCCAUUUCAACCAAGAUGGCCGCCACGGCUAAAAAUAGAACAUAGGGGUAAAAUGCAGUUUUUGGCUUAUAACUAUGAAACCAAAGCAUCUAGAGCCAAUCUGACAAGAAGCUUUUAAAUUGUUAAUCAAGUCAAUAUCUAUCUGCCCUGAAUUUUUCAGAUGAAUUGGACAAUGGUUGUUGGGUUGCUGCCCUCCAACUUGGUAAUUUUUAAAGAAAUUUUGCCGUUUUUGGUUAUCUGAAUUAUUAUUAUAGAUAGCCGAUUAAACUGUAAACAGCUAAUAAUGUUCAGCAAAGUAAAUCUAACAAAUAAGUCAACGAUGACCUUAAAUGGUCAAUUGACCCCUUAAGGAGUUAUUGCCCUUUUAUAGUCAAUUUUUAACAAUUUUCAUUAAUUUGUUCAAUUUAUGUAAAAUUUUUACAAAUAUAGUUUCUCUGUUACUAAUGGGCAGUUCAUUAUAUAUAUUAAUUGUAAGAAGCAAAAUCGUUCAGUAAAGUUAAGAACAUUCAAAAACAUCACCACACCAAAAUUACAAAUUUGUCAUAAUCAUUUGGUGUCCUUUGUUUAAUAGUGCACUAGACCAGUUUGAGCGACACAGGCUUUUUAGAGCUCUAGUUUUAUUUUUAGAUUUGAAGUUUUGGAUUUAUGGGGCUUUAUUCAUUAAAAAAAGGGGUUCCGUCUCCACACUUCGGACAAUAACUCAAAAACACUUUCACCAAUUUCCAUGAAACUUAAGUGAAUUGUUUAUAUCUAUUGAUGUAAGCUCCCUUUCGGUUUUUUUUAAUUUCAGAUUUUAAGUUUUGGAUUUAUGGGGCUUUAUUCAUAAAAAAGGGGGGAUUUUCAACACUUUGGACAAUAACUCAAAAACCACUUCACCAAUUUUGAUGAACUUAAGUGAAUCUGUUUAUAUCUAUUACGUAAGCUCCCCUUUCAUUUUCGUUUAAUCAGAUUUUAAGUUUUGGAUUUAUGGCGGACUUUAUUCAUAAAAAAGGGGGGAUUUUCAACACUUCGGACCAAUAACUCAAAAAAUGCUUCACAAUGUCCAUGAAAAACUUUGCGUGGAAUUGUUAUAUCUAUUGACUGUAAGCUCCCUUUCAAAUUUUUAUAAAUUUCAGAUUUUAAGUUUUGGAUUUAUGGGCUUUAUUCAUAAAAAGGGGGGUCCUGUCAUCACCACUUCGCGACAUAUAACUCAAAAACACUUCACCACAUUUCCAUGAAACUUAAGUGAUUGUUUAUAUCUAUUGAGUAAGCUCCCUUUUCGUUUUCUUCUAAUUUAGAUUUUAAUUUUGGAUUUAUGAGGGCUUUAUUCAUAAAAAAAAAGGGGGUACAUCGUCCCACACUUCGGACAAUAACCAAAAAACACUUUCACCAAUUCCAUGAAACUUAAGUGAAUUGUUUAUCAUUCAGUCACAAAGCCUCCCUUUUGGUUUUUUUAAAUUCAGAUUGUAAGUUUUGGAUUUAUGGGCUUUAUUCAUAAAAAAAGGGGGUCUGUCGUCCACACUUCGGACAAUAACUCAAAAAACGCUUUCACCAAUUUCCAUGAAACUUAAGUGAAUUGUUUAUAUCAAUUGACGUAAGCUCCCUUUCGUUUUUUUUUAAAUUUCAGAUUUUAAGUUUUGGAUUUAUGGGGCUUUAUUCAUAAAAAAGGCGUCCGUCGUCCACACUUCGGACAAUAACUCAAAAACACUUUCACCAAUUUCCAUGAAACUUAGUGAAUUGUUUAUAUCUAUUGACGUAAGCUCCCUUUCGUUUUUUUUUUAAUUUCAGAUUUUAAGUUUUGGAUUUAUGGGACUUUAUUCAUAAAAAAGUGGGGAUUUUCAACACUUCGGACAAUAACUCAAAAAGGCUUUCACCAAUGUCCAUGAAACUUUGGUGAAUUGUUUAUAUUUUUUGAUGCAAGCUCCCUUUCAAUUUUUAUAAAUUUCAGAUUUUAAGUUUUGGAUUAAUGGGGCUUUAUUAAUAAAAAAGGGGGGAUUUUCAACACUUCGGACAAUAACUCAAAAAGGCUUUCACCAAUGUCCAUGAAACUUUGGUGAAAUGUUUAUAUCUAUUGAUGUAAGCUCCCUUUCAAUUUUUAUAAAUUUCAGAUUUUAAGUUUUGAUUUAAUGGGGCUUUAUUCAUAAAAAAGGGGGAUUUUCGUCAUCCACACUUCGGACAAUAACUCAAAACCACUUUCACCAAUUUCCAUGAAACUUAAGUGAAUUGUUUAUAUCUAUUGACGUAAGCUCCCUUUCGUUUUCUUCUAAUUUCAGAUUUUAAGUUUGGAUUUAUGGGGCUUUAUUAUAAAAAAGGGGGUUAACAUCGUCCCACUUCGGACAAUAACUUCAAAAACACUUUCACCAAUUUCCAUGAAACUUAAUGUGAAUUGUUUAUAAUCUAUUGACGUAAAGCUCCCUUUGGUUUUUUUUUAUUUUCAGAUUUUAAGUUUUGGAUUUAUGGGGCUUUAUUCAUAAAAAAGGGGGGAUUUUUCCACACUUCGGACAAUAAACUCAAACACUUGUCACCAAUUUCAUUAAAACUUAAGUGGGGAAUUUGUUUAUAUCUAUUGACGUAAGCUCCCCUUUCUUUUUUUUUUAAUUCUCAGAUUUUUAAGUUUGGAUUUAUGGGGCUUUAUUCUUAAAAAAGGGCGGAUUUCAACACUUCGCGGACAAUAACGUCCAAAAAGGCUUUCAUCAAUGUCCAUGAAACUUUGGUGAAUUGUUAUAUAUCUAUUGAUGUAAGCUCCCUUCAAUUUUUAUAAAUUUCAGAUUUAAGUGUUGGAUUAUGGGCUUUAUCAUAAAAAAGCGGGAUUUUACACACUUCGGACAAUAACUCAAAAAGGCUUUCACAAGUCCAUGAAACUUUGGUGAAUGGUUUUUAUCGCUAUUUUGUGCAUGUUUCCUUGAUCUUUUGUGUUGAUAAUUUUCAAUCAUGCUUCUCGCUUGAGUUGCGAAAAUUAUCGCUUAGAAACUAAGGAUGGCCACCUGCGUUGCUAACGAAAUUAACAUUGAAAUUGACAAGUCUCAUAUGGUAAAAUAGCGAUAAAAAGUUAUCAUUGGUAAUCUCAACUCGAUUGCCUGUUCUCACUUUCCUGUACAGCUCAAGCGAAAAAUCAAUCUCGUUGAGCAUAAAUCAACGAUAAUCUAUAAAUAUCUAUUGAUGUAAGCUCCCUUUUAAUUUUUAUAAAUUUCAGAUUUUACAUUUCCGUGUUAUGAAUAUUUAUGCUUAAAAAAGGGGUGAUUUUCCAAUUUUGUUAAAAGACCAACAGGCGUAUCAUGCGCUAAAGUGCAGCCCUUUAUUACAAAUGGAAAUAUUGCUGAAGUUUGCCUAAACCAAAUGUUAUGAAACUUAUACAUAAUGCUCCUUACAUUAUAAGUUUGAAUUUUGGUGGUGUCACUUUUACAGCUCUAGAGUUAUGCCCCUUUACAAAUGGAAAAAAAAUAUAUAUUUUCUUUUUUGUUUUCUAACUUAAGUUUGCCUCAACCAUUGUCAACUAAAUUUUAUGAAAGAUAUACACAAGCCUUUUAACCACAAAACUCAAAUCAAGUUUGUAUAAUUUGGGGGUGUCACUUCAACCAUUCAAGAGUUAUGCACAGUUACAAAUGGGAAACAAGCUGGAUUUUUAGUUUCCUUUCUCCAACUUUAGUUUGCCUCAACCAAAUGUUAUGAAACUUUAACCCCAUGUACACAAUGCUCAUUGCCACAAAACUCAGAUCCAGUACAAAUUUGGGUAGCAUCAGAUCAUGUCAUCACUUUUACAGUUCUUCAGUUAUGUCCCUUUUAACAUUAUAUGCAAGGGAGGGUAUACCUAUGUCCCAUGGACGAAUCCCAAACUUAUCCUCAAAUGGUUCAAGAUAAAAUCUUACAGAUAUUUAUUAUUAUUAUGACAACAAAGGAGAACAAACUAUUAAUUUAAACAUGGUAAAAGGCUAUUGCCAUAUGUUUUCAUUCUGUAAAAUAAGUCCAGUAAACAACAUUGCCAGAUCUGUCAAUUUUUCUAAUUUUAUUUGUUCGUUGUUGAUGUUGAUAAGUGUUUCUUGCUUUUUAUAAAGGUUAUACCAUUGGUUUUCCUGUUUGAAUGGUUUUACACUAGUCAUUUGGAGCCCUUUAUAGCCUGUUAUUUGGUGUGGGCCGAGGCUUCAUGUUGAAGACCAUACUUUGACCUAUAAUGGUUUACUUCUACAAAUUGUGACUUGGAUGAAGAGUUGUCUCAUUGGCUUAUGACGUAUAUCAUAUAAUGUUAACGUUGUGUAACAUUUUAUAUGGCUGAACAAUGGCUUCUAUCAUGUUAUGUUGUUUCGGUGGCUUAAUAAAAGCUUCUUUUAAUUUUCAGGUAUCACCAGCAAAUAGUUUUGGCUUUAUGGAUGGAGGGAUAGAUAUGGUCUAUACUAAUCUGUUUGGAUGGCAAAUGUAAGCGUCUGUAUUUAUAAACCAGUCAAUUUUCUUUUAAUUUUUUUUUACUGAAAGCCAAAUCUCUAUAAUACACCUUCAAUUUGAAAGUAUUUAUAAUGAAGAUGUGGUACUACAUGUAUUGCCAAUGAGACAGCUAUCCACAAGAGUUCCAAGGAAAUGGAUAAUUGCAAUUAAAGGCCACCCUCUAUAUAGCUUUUAACUUUGAGAAAAAUCCCAUUGUAUAUAGUACAGCCAGUAUAAUUGGCUACAAGAGGCCCUGUCAUGAAAUAUUUGAAACAAUUCAAACAAGAAAACCAAUAUCCUAAUUCACAAAAAUACAUGUAUAAUUUAUUAAACAAGUUUAUAUUAAGGAUUUAUCAAUUUUAUAUUAUGCAAUGUUUACAUACAUUGAGAUGAAGGUCUACAAAAGCAAUAAAAGCGCUGUUCCUUUUAUUUUUGUGUGUUUAUUUUAGCAGGCAACUCUCCAUCCAAGUCACAAUUUGUAAAAGUAAACCAUUAUAGAUAAAAGUACAGCUUUCAAUAUGGAGCCUAAGUUGCUCAUACUGAACAGCAAGCUGUAAAAGGCCCCAAAUAUGGCUAGUGUAAAUCAUUCAAACAGGAAAACCCAUAGUUUAAUCUAUAUAAAAAAAAAGGGAAAGGAGAAACAUGUAUAAUAACCGCAUCAACAAACUACAACCAUCUCUGUUUAGAACAUCUCAAGAGUUAUAACAAUGUAUAAUGAUACAAUCCAUGCGUACAAAUCAAAAUCAGCUCUCAGACUUUAAGCUCUCUGCCAGAUAUGUUUCUUUGUCAAAUGCAACAUUUCUUUAUACAAUAUGCUCUUUAUUAUAUUGAAUUUGUACAUGUAUGCAUAGAACAUUUAUUAAAUUUGAAGAAAUAUCAUUUUUCCAAAUUUAAUUAUAACAAUCUGCCUUCUUUGGGUUUUUUUUAAGGCAAGAAAGACUACAGAAAGUGAUACGAGAAGACUAUAAUGGUGAAAAUAUUGUAGUAGGUAUUAAUAUUGACUUUUAAUAUGAUAAACGUAAGUUUUAACUACUAUGUAUGUUGGUACAUGAGUAAAUGAGAUUUAAUGGGAUCGAGGACUAUAUGUCAAUAAGAACAAACUGAAAAAAGAUACCUCUGAGGUCAACUUACUGUAAAUUCAGAAAUUAUUGGGAUGUUUUAUUAUUGCGAAAAUGCUGCAGGGUUAUAAUUACAAAAUUUAAACUCAUUUUAAUAACAAUGAUUUGUAUGAAUUAAACCGUAAUUUUCUCAAUAUCUCAAAAUUUAAAUCGCAUUUUAGUCCAAAAUAAAAAAUUGCCAUAAUAAAUGCAUGAAAUAAUUUCUGAAUUUACAGUACUAUAUCUUAAAGAGAUGCAUUUGCCUUUUAUAGCAUGUAAAGGUUUUGUAAUACUAUCUUAAGGGGGUGGCCAUACCUUUUAUAGGCUCUAAAAGGUUUAAGUUAUAUGUAUACUAUCUUAAAGAAGUGCUUGUACCUUUUAAAGGCUCUAAUCAACUAAGUCACAUGACACAUCUUUUGAAGAGCUGCCAUCAACACCAAAUUAUAUUUUUUUAUAAAUUUUUAAGGCAAUAAAAAUCCGAUAAAGAAUCAGACAGUUUCUGAUUGUAUUCCUGAAAGGCUCAUAAACAUAUGGUAUAUUUAAACAAGGUUUUUAACACACUUUGUUUAGUUGGACCAAUUUAAGCUAUUUUCUCUCACUUAAUAAGAGGAGCAAGAUACCAGAGGGACAGUCAAACUCGUAGAUGGAAAUAUAAACUGACAAUGCCAUAGUUAAAAAAAGAAAAAGAAAAACAGACAAAUAAUAGUACACAAGACACAAACAUAUGAAAACUUAAGACUAAGCAACACUAACCCCACCAAAAACUGGGGGUGAUCUCAGGUGCUUGGGAAGGGUUUAAGCAGAUCCAGUUCCGCAUGUGGCACUAGUCGUGUGCGCUCUCAUUUAAAAUUUACAUUGGUCAUCUCCAUCCAUCUGUUACAUUAUGUACAAUGUAUUGUUCAUUAAAGUUGUUUUACUUUUAGGGAAAUGCCAUUAUUAUUCCAGCUUAUGGUGAAGAGCCAGAUGAAGAAAGAAUUGAAAAUAUGAAGAAAUUUAAUUUAUGUGGUGGAAGGCCAAUAAAGUUUCUAAUUUCUGCUCCAACAAUGAGAGUUCCAAAAGAUGUGAUGAGUACAUCUAAUGCUUUCCUGGCAUUUAGAGCUACAAUCAUAGCUGGUAUGCUUUAAUAAGAAUACAUGUUUCAUUAAAACCAGAGGCAGAUUUAGAGGGUUUCUUAGGGGGCUUAGCCCCCUCUAUUGUGGGAAAAAUUUGUUGAUUUUAUAGGGAAUUACUGGAGCAUGACUGGAGUGGGCCCCCUCUUAUGCAGUGCACCCUUCUCCCUCCCCUUAUGGUAAUUUCUGGAUCCGCCACUGAAAACAUACAAGUACUAGUCAGACGUUAAGGCUUGUUUCUCUUAAACAAAAAAUCUUUAUAAAUUUUAUAUUAAACUUGUCACUUAUGAUGUGGUAACUUGUAAUGAGAGAAAAAUCCUCGUUGAAUUUAAGACUUAAAUUACCUCAAAGGUCAUGGAUAAAUAAAAAAGACCACAGUUUGUGCAGAAAGAUGGUUUCUUGAUGCUAAAUCAAACAUUUCUAGUGGGAUCAAAAUCUUAAUUGGAUUUAUAUUGUCAUUUAUAAUGGGAUAAAUUGAUAUUUAGGUCACUAUAUCUAAGGUCAGAGUCAUACAAAUAAUAGAGUUGUACAAUUUUACUGUCUAAAGUCAGAACAGAAAUGAAUCAUUCCUAAAAGUAAACAGAAUAAAGUUUGCCAUCAGGUCACUAAAAGGGGUUUUCCCUUAAUAUGAUAUGAAGUAAUGGGGUUUGUAAGCCUGCUAAGUAGAUGUUCUUUUACAAAUGUUUUAUUUUGAUUUGUAAUGUGGAAACAAAUUUUUUAUCUCCCUUUUUGAUAACACACUUAAUUUUCACAAUACUCUUCGAGCAUAAUAUUUUUCCUCCGUGUCUUUGUGUAAACUUUGCAUAACAUUGCUUGCAACUUUUUGUUAAAAGUUGGCUUAUUUGUAAUUGCAGUUGAGAAACACAACAGAAACCCAGAAAAUGAACCAAUCAGAAGUGUCCUAUGUCCAGGUCUUGGGACUGCUGUUGGCAGAAUGCCAUUUGACAGAUGUGCUUUCCAGGUUUGUUAUUAAUACUUCAUGAUUGAUUUUACAUGUACACAUGUAUAUGUUCUUAUAAUGUAGGUCAGACAUCUACUAGUUCUCUAGUGUAAAGAAGGAUUGAUUUUACAUAUUACACAUGUAUAUGUUCUAAAUGUAGGUCAGACAUUACUAGUUCUCUAGUGAAACAUAUGUACACAUGUUACCAUGUAUGUCUGUUAGGUCAGACAUCUACUAGUUCUCUAGUGUAAAGAAGGAAUGUUUUACAUAUGUCAUGUAUAUGUUCUUAUGAAUGUAGGUCAGACAUCUACUAUUCUCUAGUAAAGAAGGAUUGAGUUACAUAUGUACACAUGUAUAUGUUCUUAUAAUGUAGGUCAGACACUUAGUUCUCAGUGUUAAAGAGGAUGAUUUGCAUAUGUACACAUGUAUAUGUUCUUAUAAUGUUCAGACGUGUACUAGUUCUCUAGUGAAAAAGAUGAUUUUACAUAUGUACACAUGUAUAUGUCUUAUAAUGUAGUCAGAACAUCUACAGUUCUCUAGAAAGAAGAUUGAUUUUACAUAUGUACACAUGUAUAUGUUCUUAUAAUGUAGGUUCAGACAUCUACUAGUUCUCUAGUGUAAAGAAGAUUGAUUUACAUGUCAUGUAUAUGUUCAGUGUUUCUCACAUGUAUAUGUUCUUAUAAUGUAGGUCAGACAUCUACUAGUUCUCUAGUGUAAAGAAGGAUGAUUUUACAUAGUACACAUGUAUAUGUUCUUAUAAUGUAGGUCAGACAUCUACUAGUUCUCUAGUGUAAAGAAGGAUUGAUUUUACAUAUGUACACAUGUAUAUGUUCUUAUAAUGUAGGUCAGACAUCUACUAGUUCUCUAGUGUAAAGAAGGAUUGAUUUGACAUAUGUACACAUCUAUAUGUUCUUAUAAUGUAGGUCAGACAGCUACUAGUUCUCUAGUGUAAAGAAGGAUUGAUUUUACAUAUGUACACAUGUAUAUGUUCUUAUAAUGUAGGUCAGACGUCUACUAGUUCUCUAGUGUAAAGGAGGAUUGAUUUUACAUAUGUACACAUGUAUAUGUUCUUAUAAUGUAGGUCAGACAGCUACUAGUUCUGUAUUAGUAAUGUAAAGGAGUACGUGGAAUUGUGUUCCUGAAUGUACAUGAAGUAUUUGCCACUGGAUAUCAAGCAUCCAUUGGUCAAUAGUAAUCCUCUCCAUGUUGUUCUAGUUUGAUAGAAAUCAAAGUAGUUGGUCCUCCAAGAUUGGUCAACUGAGAUAGAAGAUUAUAAGAAAGAAGAUGUGGUCUGAUUGCCAAUGAGACAACUCUUCACAAGAGACCAAAUGACACAGAAAUUAACAACUAUAGGUCACUCUUCAGCCUUCAACAAUGAGCAAAUAGCUUAGGGGUUAAAUUGAAUAUUACAUAAACACUAUUUCAAUGAUGUUGAAAUAUUCAUUUGCACAGGGGCGCCAGCCAAAUGUUGUCCAUGCAUUUACUCAUGAACAGUUCAAUCAAAGCUUUUAAAAUUUUAAUAUGUUGUUACUGAUGACAAAAUGGAGGUCAAGAUCAAUAAUAAUGACAAUUUUGACUAUUACCGUUCAGCAGUUAUGGUUCUUGAAAAAUUGAAAAAUGGCGUUUCCAGUCGUAUCUGUGCAUUUACUCAUGAACUAUUCAACCUAAGCUUUUCAAAUUUUAAUAUGUUGUUACUGAUGACAAAAUGGAGGUCAAAUUUGUUAUGGUUCUUGUGAUAUUGAAAAAUGCCAGGACACAAAUAAAUGUUAAUAAAUCCGAUUUGCUGUCUUUGUGACAGCCUCUUGUUUUAUAUCUCUUACCUUUAAGUUGUCAUCAGUCAAGAAUUUCUUGUUUCAUUGUACAUGUAUUUACAUCUAAUAAUAUUUUUUUUAUUCUACAGAUGUUGGAAGCAUUUGAAAUGCAUGAUCUAAAAAUAAAAGACUCAUUAUUAAAUCCUCCUAAUCUGUGGGUAGUGACCAAUCAUAAUGAUUUUAUGGAAGAUGUAAGUUACCAUGGCAACAGAAUUUUACUGCAAGAAUUUCAUUCGAGCCUUUGGAAUCAUAUUAAAAUUUUUAAAAAUAUGCAUAUAUAUAUAUAUAUAUGGCAGUGUCAACAAUUUGCUAAAUGUUUUGAUAAGAUCAAUUUGUAGGGAAGUACUAAUGGUAAUCCAUUAUCUUUUGUAUGCAAUAUAAGAAUUUUCACAUCUCAUUUCCAUGGAAAUUAUCUGGCCUAUUUGAAACUAUUGCAUAGUUAACAUGUUAGUUUGUGACUAUUUCAGUUUAAGAAGAACCAUUAAUGAAAAGUCUUAUAGGAUAUUUGGUAUGCUUAUGAUGUUGUUAAAGAACCACUUAAACCACUUGGCCACCAAGGCCCCAACAACAAAUAGAUUUCUUUACAAUGUGUCUUAUAAGCUCUUAUUUGUUCCAAGUUAAAAACAAAUUGUGAAUAUUAUUAAAAAAAUAUAUAUCAAAUAUCUGCCAUUUAUACCAAAUUCUCAUUUUGUUAUUUCUUUUUUACAGUAUAGUGAAAAAUCAUAAGAGAUUGCAUAAGACUGCCAGGAAAUUAGAAAAAAAAUGAAAAUCAAAUACAAUUUUCCAACUUUUUGAAACAGCUGUUAGCUUUGUAAUCAGAGAUAUCCAUGACUCGUUGUUCAUCCUGUGGUUUGACAGUCACUACAACCAACAAAUAGAAGCUGGAAAAUGAUUUCUCCAGAUUUAUAGCUGUAGAGUUUUUACAGAAUUAUUUAUUCUCUAUGUUCCAGACAAUCACAGCAACUAUAGUAGAUGUUCUAUGGGAGAUAUUAUAAUGUUUAUUGUUAAAUAAUGUAUGCAUUUUUA